CCUACGGGGGGCAGCAGUGGGGAAUAUUGGACAAUGGGCGCAAGCCUGAUCCAGCAAUGCCGCGUGUGUGAAGAAGGCCUGCGGGUUGUAAAGCACUUUAAGCAGGAAAGAAGGGGUGGGAGUUAAUACCUUUCAUCAUUGACGUUACCUGCAGAAUAAGCACCGGCUAACUCCGUGCCAGCAGCCGCGGUAAUACGGAGGGUGCAAGCUGUAAUCGGAAUGACUGUACGUGGUGCGCGCAGUGGCGGGUGAAAUCCCCGGGCUUAACCUGGGAACUGCGAUGGAUACUGUCGGGCUAGAGUGUGGUAGAGGUGAGUGGAAUUUCCGGUGUAGCAGUGAAAUGCGUAGAGAUCGGAAGGAACACCAGUGGCGAAGGCGGCUCCCUGGACUAACACUGACGCUGAGGUGCGAAAGCGUGGGGAGCAAACAGGAUUAGAUACCCCAGUAGUC
rnacentral:rRNA from 1 species